rnacentral:rRNA from 1 species
UGCAAGUCGAGCGGAUGAAGGGGGCUUGCUCCUGGAUUCAGCGGCGGACGGGUGAGUAAUGCCUAGGAAUCUGCCUGGUAGUGGGGGAUAACGUCCGGAAACGGGCGCUAAUACCGCAUACGUCCUGAGGGAGAAAGUGGGGGAUCUUCGGACCUCACGCUAUCAGAUGAGCCUAGGUCGGAUUAGCUAGUUGGUGGGGUAAAGGCCUACCAAGGCGACGAUCCGUAACUGGUCUGAGAGGAUGAUCAGUCACACUGGAACUGAGACACGGUCCAGACUCCUACGGGAGGCAGCAGUGGGGAAUAUUGGACAAUGGGCGAAAGCCUGAUCCAGCCAUGCCGCGUGUGUGAAGAAGGUCUUCGGAUUGUAAAGCACUUUAAGUUGGGAGGAAGGGCAGUAAGUUAAUACCUUGCUGUUUUGACGUUACCAACAGAAUAAGCACCGGCUAACUUCGUGCCAGCAGCCGCGGUAAUACGAAGGGUGCAAGCGUUAAUCGGAAUUACUGGGCGUAAAGCGCGCGUAGGUGGUUCAGCAAGUUGGAUGUGAAAUCCCCGGGCUCAACCUGGGAACUGCAUCCAAAACUACUGAGCUAGAGUACGGUAGAGGGUGGUGGAAUUUCCUGUGUAGCGGUGAAAUGCGUAGAUAUAGGAAGGAACACCAGUGGCGAAGGCGACCACCUGGACUGAUACUGACACUGAGGUGCGAAAGCGUGGGGAGCAAACAGGAUUAGAUACCCUGGUAGUCCACGCCGUAAACGAUGUCGACUAGCCGUUGGGAUCCUUGAGAUCUUAGUGGCGCAGCUAACGCGAUAAGUCGACCGCCUGGGGAGUACGGCCGCAAGGUUAAAACUCAAAUGAAUUGACGGGGGCCCGCACAAGCGGUGGAACAUGGGGUUUAAUUCGAAGCAACGCGAAGAACCUUACCUGGCCUUGACAUGCUGAGAACUUUCC